AACUUCAAUACUCACAUUCAUGUCUAACGUAUGUCGAAUUCAAUUUCACAUUAACUUCAUCAACCGACUCUAAUGCCUUGUUAAAUGAGGCUUGAUUUCACUAAAAAAAAAAAAAGAACUUAAAAGAUGAAAGAACGCAAACUCAUAUAUUCAUUCAAUAACCUGUAAACCUUGAUAAUACGUCACUCUAAAGUUUAAAAUUCAUCUUCACAUCUAGUAUGAAUUUCGAGUCCAAUUUUCA
rnacentral:lncRNA from 1 species